rnacentral:rRNA from 1 species
CCUACGGGAGGCAGCAGUGGGGAAUCUUGCGCAAUGGGCGAAAGCCUGACGCAGCAACGCCGCGUGCGGGAAGAAGGCUUUCGGGCUGUAAACCGCUUUCAGCAGGAACGAAAAUGACGGUACCUGCAGAAGAAGGAGCGGCCAACUAUGUGCCAGCAGCCGCGGUGAUACAUAGGCUUCAAGCGUUGUCCGGAUUUAUUGGGCGUAAAGAGUUCGUAGGCGGUCGAGUAAGUCGGGUGUGAAAAUUCUGGGCUCAACCCAGAGACGCCACCCGAUACUGCUUAACUUGAGUUCGAUAGGGGAGUGGGGAAUUCCUAGUGUAGCGGUGAAAUGCGCAGAUAUUAGGAGGAACACCGGUGGCGAAGGCGCCACUCUGGAUCGAUACUGACGCUGAGGAACGAAAGCAUGGGUAGCAAACAGGAUUAGAUACCCUGGUAGUCCAUGCCGUAAGCGGUGGGCACUAGGUGUGGGAUUCUAUUAACGAAUUCCGCGCCGUCGCUAACGCAUUAAGUGCCCCGCCUGGGGAGGUACGGUCGCAGACUAAACUACAAGGAAGUUAGACGGCGNGAGAGUGCCGACGGACGACCGACGAGGGGAGGUAGG